CUUUUUUUUUUUCGUUUUUUUUGGUGAAAUUUUGAACAACCGGAUCGGUUGUUCAAAUUUCCCCAAUAAUUAUUGGGCUCAGAGUCUGAAGCGCCGAUCACUGAGGGAGAAAGAAAAAGUUUCCCCUCAUUUUUGUUUUGUU
rnacentral:ribozyme from 13 species